UGGGGAAUCUUCCGCAAUGGACGAAAGUCUGACGGAGCAACGCCGCGUGUAUGAUGAAGGUCUUCGGAUUGUAAAGUACUGUCAUUGGGGAAGAACGGUUUUCUUGAAAAGAUUGAGAAGACAUGACGGUACCCAAGGAGGAAGCCCCGGCUAACUACGUGCCAGCAGCCGCGGUAAUACGUAGGGGGCAAGCGUUGUCCGGAAUUAUUGGGCGUAAAGGGCGCGUAGGCGGGCCUUUAAGUCCGGUGUGAAAGAUCAGGGCUCAACCCUGAGAGUGCAUCGGAAACUGGAGGCCUUGAGGACAGGAGAGGAAAGUGGAAUUCCACGUGUAGCGGUGAAAUGCGUAGAUAUGUGGAGGAACACCAGUGGCGAAGGCGACUUUCUGGACUGUAACUGACGCUGAGGCGCGAAAGCGUGGGGAGCAAACAGGAUUAGAUACCCUGGUAGUCCACGCCGUAAACGAUGAGUGCUAGGUGUAGAGGGUAUCGACCCCUUCUGUGCCGCAGUUAACACAAUAAGCACUCCCGCCUGGGGAGUACGGCCGCAAGGUUGAAACUCAAAUGAAUUGACGGGGUCAUAGCUGUUUCCU
rnacentral:rRNA from 1 species